AAAGGGGAAACCGAAAACCUUUAAGUUAGAGUAGGUG
rnacentral:ncRNA from 1 species